AACGAACGCUGGCGGCAGGCCUAACACAUGCAAGUCGAACGCCCCGCAAGGGAGUGGCAGACGGGUGAGUAACACGUGGGAACGUACCCUUCGGUUCGGGAUAACUCAGGGAAACUUGAGCUAAUACCGGAUACGUCCGAGAGGAGAAAGAUUUAUCGCCGAGGGAUCGGCCCGCGUCUGAUUAGCUUGUUGGUGAGGUAACGGCUCACCAAGGCGACGAUCAGUAGCUGGUCUGAGAGGAUGAUCAGCCACAUUGGGACUGAGACACGGCCCAAACUCCUACGGGAGGCAGCAGUGGGGAAUAUUGGACAAUGGGCGCAAGCCUGAUCCAGCCAUGCCGCGUGAGUGAUGAAGGCCCUAGGGUUGUAAAGCUCUUUUACCCGGGAAGAUAAUGACUGUACCGGGAGAAUAAGCCCCGGCUAACUUCGUGCCAGCAGCCGCAGUAAC
rnacentral:rRNA from 1 species